ACGAACGCUGGCGGCGUGCCUAAUACAUGCAAGUCGAACGAAACUUUCUUACACCGAAUGCUUGCAUUCACCGUAAGAAGUUGAGUGGCGGACGGGUGAGUAACACGUGGGUAACCUGCCUAAAAGAAGGGGAUAACACUUGGAAACAGGUGCUAAUACCGUAUAUCUCUAAGGAUCGCAUGAUCCUUAGAUGAAAGAUGGUUCUGCUAUCGCUUUUAGAUGGACCCGCGGCGUAUUAACUAGUUGGUGGGGUAACGGCCUACCAAGGUGAUGAUACGUAGCCGAACUGAGAGGUUGAUCGGCCACAUUGGGACUGAGACACGGCCCAAACUCCUACGGGAGGCAGCAGUAGGGAAUCUUCCACAAUGGACGCAAGUCUGAUGGAGCAACGCCGCGUGAGUGAAGAAGGUCUUCGGAUCGUAAAACUCUGUUGUUAGAGAAGAACACGAGUGAGAGUAACUGUUCAUUCGAUGACGGUAUCUAACCAGCAAGUCACGGCUAACUACGUGCCAGCAGCCGCGGUAAUACGUAGGUGGCAAGCGUUGUCCGGAUUUAUUGGGCGUAAAGGGAACGCAGGCGGUCUUUUAAGUCUGAUGUGAAAGCCUUCGGCUUAACCGGAGUAGUGCAUUGGAAACUGGAAGACUUGAGUGCAGAAGAGGAGAGUGGAACUCCAUGUGUAGCGGUGAAAUGCGUAGAUAUAUGGAAGAACACCAGUGGCGAAAGCGGCUCUCUGGUCUGUAACUGACGCUGAGGUUCGAAAGCGUGGGUAGCAAACAGGAUUAGAUACCCUGGUAGUCCACGCCGUAAACGAUGAAUGCUAGGUGUUGGAGGGUUUCCGCCCUUCAGUGCCGCAGCUAACGCAAUAAGCAUUCCGCCUGGGGAGUACGACCGCAAGGUUGAAACUCAAAGGAAUUGACGGGGGCCCGCACAAGCGGUGGAGCAUGUGGUUUAAUUCGAAGCAACGCGAAGAACCUUACCAAGUCUUGACAUCCUGCGACGGUGCUGGAAACAGUAUUUUCCUUCGGGACGCAGAGACAGGUGGUGCAUGGUUGUCGUCAGCUCGUGUCGUGAGAUGUUGGGUUAAGUCCCGCAACGAGCGCAACCCUUGUGAUUAGUUGCUACGCAAGAGCACUCUAAUCAGACUGCCGUUGACAAAACGGAGGAAGGUGGGGACGACGUCAAAUCAUCAUGCCCCUUAUGACCUGGGCUACACACGUGCUACAAUGGACGGUACAACGAGUCGCGAGACCGCGAGGUUUAGCUAAUCUCUUAAAGCCGUUCUCAGUUCGGAUUGUAGGCUGCAACUCGCCUACAUGAAGUCGGAAUCGCUAGUAAUCGCGAAUCAGCAUGUCGCGGUGAAUACGUUCCCGGGCCUUGUACACACCGCCCGUCACACCAUGAGAGUUUGUAACACCCAAAGCCGGUGGGGUAACCGCAAGGAGCCAGCCGUCUAAGGUGGGACAGAUGAUUGGGGUG
rnacentral:rRNA from 1 species